rnacentral:rRNA from 1 species
UAAGGAAUAUUGGUCAAUGGACGCAAGUCUGAGCCAGCUAUGCCGCGUGAAGGAUGAAGGUCCUCUGGAUUGUAAACUUCUUUUAUCUGGGACGAAAACGGGAUUUUUAUCUCAAUUGACGGUACCAGAGGAAUAAGCACCGGCUAACUCCGUGCCAGCAGCCGCGGUAAUACGGAGGGUGCGAGCGUUAACCGGAUUUACUGGGUUUAAAGGGUGCGUAGGUGGGCUUAUAAGUCAGUGGUGAAAUCUCCGAGCUUAACUUGGAAACUGCCGUUGAUACUAUAGGUCUUGAAUUAUCUGGAGGUCAGCGGAAUAUGUCAUGUAGCGGUGAAAUGCUUAGAUAUGACAUAGAACACCAAUUGCGAAGGCAGCUUACUACAUAUAAAUUGACGCUGAGGCACGAAAGCGUGGGGAUCAAACA